UACUACCUCUCCAGAGUCUGGCAAAAUGGGUCUUCUCAAGAUCUUCACAGUUUUGGUGAAUGUAACAUUUACUUGGCUGUUUUUUGGCUGUAAUUUCAGUAUGCCAUCCUGGAAGCAGGUCAUAGCUGUGAACAGGCAUCCAUCCUAGGACAGGAACAGAAGGAACAAUUUUAAAAGGAACAUCACCACACGUGUUAAGUUGUGAUUUUUGUUGAAAAUUAAGAAUCCAGGAUCCAACAGUACUUUUUUUUAGUAUAGUUUUAGAUACACGAAGGAUCCUUUGAUUUUCCCAUUCUUUGAUAAUUGCUUAAGUAUUUCCUCAUCAAAUAUGUGCCUAAAGUCUCCCUUUGGAUAUUAAUGAUGACAGCAGCCUGCUUUUUCUCUUUCAUGGUGUGGUUGCACAUUAAUUUUUAUUACACUAACAGGCUGCAAACUCUCCAGAAUCUCCUUUCCUGUGUGGUAGCAGUUUUCCUCACUAGGCAUACAACUGUGGAAAAUACCACCAAAGCCAACCUAUUAUCAACAUAAAAAGAAAAGCAGUGUUUACUGAAGCCCAUUUCUAACGCGUUUUCCAUUUUUCAAAGAAACACACAGUUAAAACUGCUGAUUAUGCAUAUUAGAAUGGCUCCAAAGACGUCAUCUUUGUUUUGCAUACCAACAGCUACCGAAGCUGAAUCUCGUCUGGUUUAUUAGAUGCCACUGCAGUGUGCUGCUUUUGCAAGGACAAGGCAACCUCAGUGUAUGUUGUCUAUAGCAAACGUUAAUAGCAUCAUCUUAUGUUGGUUAGAUACAACAUUUUAUUUUCAUUAAAAACCACACUUUUGUGUUUGUUUCAAGCUUCUUACCGUAACCAGACUUGCUUACUGGAAAAAAAGUACUCUUUUUUUCAACAGAUCGAUUUUCCAGCUGAAACUGAAAACAUUUUGUGCCUCAUCCGUGAUGAGCUGAGAAACUAGCACUUCUCAUAUAUGCUGCUUUUUCUUUUCUUAUUUUGCUGAGUUAACAGUUAGCUGUAGGAAGGCCAACAGUCAGAGGGCCACAAGGAUUUUUGUUAUGUUGUGAUGGGUUCAGCAUUUUGAUGAAGAGGCAUUAAAAAGUGUGUACCGGUGGUGAAGUCUGAGGGGCGCUAGGUAAAUGUGUAAAAUAGCUGUGCCAGAAACAAACAUUCUGCACCUGACUCUAACUUUACAGAUUACCUUGAAAAACCUUUGCUUCCUGAACUAACAACAGCAGUUAGAUGCUUAUGUGAUUUAAAUGGGCACUGUGCCACUGGCUUCAGCUGCAAGGUCUAUCUCCAAGGUCUAUCCUAUUUUCCCUCCAGUCUUUUGAAUCAACUCAGUAUGAAGUCUUCCUCAGCUUCAGUAUCUUUUCUUUUGAGUUUGUAUCUUCUGCUAUCUUUAGCCUUCCACUACUUUAUUUUUUAUUUUUUAUUUUUUAAAUCUCACUUGAGUGUACAGGGAAAUGAUGUGGGAUUGCAUUGGGGCUAACAUUCAGUCCAUUCACUGGUAUCUCAAGGAAUUCAAAACCAAUAUUGAUAAACCACUGAAUUUUUGAUGUAAUGAAAAAUUGUAUUCUUCCUACGUAUUGAAGGCCAAAUUCAAGUCUGCCAUAAGCAGGUUAUCGUAUAAGUAAUGCUAUGAUAUUCAAAGUGCAGUUUUAUUAAAUCUAGUUGUUUUUUUUUUUAUUACAUCUAUUUUUUUUUUUAUUAAAUCUAGUUUUGUACAUUAAGGUGUAACUGCAACUUUGGCGUGCUAUAAUUUGUAUAGAAUCAUAGAAUUGUUUGAGCUGGAAAGGAACUUUAAAGGCCAUCUAGUCCAGCUCCCUUGCAGUGAACGGGGACACCUGCAGCUACGUCAGGUGCUCAGAGCCCCAUCCAGCCUGACCUUGAGUGUCUUGCCUCUCUGGACAACCUGUGCCAGUGCUUCACUACCCUUGUUGUAAAAAUCUUCUUCCUUAUACUCAAUCAAAAUCUCCCCUCUUUUCGUAUGAAGCCAUUUCCUCACAUUCUAUCACAGCAGCCCCUGCUGAUGAGUCUGUCCCCAUUCUUAUAGCCUCCCUUUAGAUACUGGAGGGAUAUAUAAUAUAUAUAAUAUAAUAAUAGAAUAUAUAACAUACAUGUAUUUGGAUAAUUCAAUAAAUGUAAAUUUCACUCCACAGAAUAAAAUCCUUUUCAGUCUGAUUGCUGGUAAUAAUUACUGUUAACAAUUACUCUUAAUAAUUAGCAUUAUCUUUUCAUCAGGGAUCAAACCUGUAUCGAUCUCAGUACCUUCCAAAAUACCUAAAUUCCUCAUCUGCUAUACUUUUUGACAGAGGUACUCAGGACCUCCCAGAGCCAGCCCGUAAAGCUCUGUGCUGCAAAUGAACUGUUGUCUUCCUUCCUGGUGUUUUUCAAGAGAAAAAAAAGCAACAACCCGAUGAAGUGAUUAGUCACUGGGUGAAUUUGCUUGUUUCAGAGGUAGCAGUAAACUCUGCAGUAAAAUGAUGGCUAACCAUCUGGCUCUUUUCACUUUGAGGGUACGAGUUAGAAAGAGGGCUAAUGAAAAAAAACCAACAUCGGGUGCAUUACUUUUUGCAUUGCAGUUGUUUCUAGCAAUCAGAUAGAAUGGAAUGUAUCUAUUUUGGUCAUGCUUCUCUAUGUUUUUUGCAAGUCAAAAAUGCACCAGCCAUAAAUCUUAGGAGGAGGCUAACAGCUUUGUGAAAAGAGGUGAGUUUUUUUCCUUUCUUCUUGCAGUUUGCAAAAAAAAAAGUUUACAGCCCUGAGUAAACACCUCUAUAUGCUGCAAGUGUUUUUUUUUAAUAUGCAUGAUGAUUAUUUUUACAUCUUGCUUAAAAUUGCUUUCUUUCUGAAAUAGGUGUCCACACCCAUAAACAAACAUGAUGGGUAAAUUUAAGAUAACUGAUAACCAGGUCUUCAUUGCAUGUUGGGGAUUAUCAAAAGAUUGCAGAACACACUGAGUUUCUAAACUUUUAAGACAUGCUGUUAUUUUUAGCAUUUCAUUAUGCUGUAAAUCCCGCAUCCUGCCAGUAUGUAGAUACGUGCACGCUUUCUGUGACUCUAGCGUAACUUAAUACAUAUGAGAAGUUCCUGACUUCGAAUAAUACAUAGUAUCAUCAUUUUAAAAAUGUAUAAAUAAAUACUGGUAUAAAAAGAAAUUUGCGGAGACCUGCUGUGGUUAUUUUAACAAGUUAUAAUGUAAAGAGAAUACUUGCAGAAUGCAGCUUUGUCUCCUGGUCUGUGUGGUAGCACACACUUUGCUCGCAAGUAGUCUGACAGAAACCAGUGUGACUGCAUGAAAGGAAGUGCUAUGUAAUAUAGCCUUACAGUACCACUCUUGACAUUUAUCUCCAGUGGGAGGGAAAGGGGAUCCCUUCAGACUCCGUUCAGCAGUGUUGCCAAUGCACCUGGAGCUCACGGUAGCUGGAGGUGCUUCAUUGCCCAAAAACUGCAUCCUCAGGAGCAUUGCUAUUCAGGCAUUUUUAUACUCAUGGCACUGAGUAAAGGAAACACUUACAAAUUUGAAUGUAGAUGUGCUGGAAUGCCCAACCUAACCUAACCUAUCACUAGCCUAAUAAUUAAGACUGCAUAAUAUAAACACUUCCAAUAUGAAAAAUCCAGGAAUAAGGAACUUCUAUCAAAGCAUCUUCAAACAUAGCUUAGCUUGUACUAAGAAUUCUAGGUCAGAGAUAUGAAAAAGAAGGCAUGUCGAUUUGUCAGUGGAAAUAACCAAUACAAAAUACAUUUGAUAUAGUUAGAAAGAAGUGUUAAACCGGUCUCACCUCAGGGUUUUCUGGUGUAUGCAGCAAUUCAACAUCCUACAAUAAAACAAAUCUAAGUUAGAAAAGUUUAGCAUUUGAGCAAUGUCCCUCAAAAGAUACAUUCAAUGCAUAAUACUUGAAAAUAAUUUCAGAAUUAGGACAAAUGCUCUGCUUACCUUAUCUUUCACUACAUCUUUUAGAUGGUCAAUUGUCUUUGCAAGCUGUUUGUAUUUCAUUGCUUUUGGUGGAGCUGCAGUCAGCACCAUACUGGAACAGAAGAAGAGCAUACAGAAAAUAAUCAUCCUCUCCAUACUCUGAUGAGUUUUGUUGUGUUAGGAGCAAAGUUGCGCUAUCCAAGAUGAACACUUCAGUUUGAGCUGUGCUCAGGUGAGUUUGUGCGUAGGGGGGCAGGGAUUGAUGGAGUGAAUUAAAAUAUGCCCCAUCUGCACAUUGGACAGGAAAAAAAGAGAAAAGGGUGAAUUCCCAUUUUCGCUUUGAGUCAAAAAAUGAACGUAGUAAAAAGUAGAUGCUUAGAAACCACAGGCCCAGGUAAACAAAGAUUCUGCUUUUUUUUUUUUUUUUUUCCUGCUUCUUGCAGCAAAGAAUCUCUUCAAUCCAAUUGAAAAUCAUCCAUAUCAUGCUGAUGAAAUAUGGCAGGACUUCUUUUCAGAACAUUAAAGUAUUUAUCCUACUUUUCUUUAUAGCUCUAGAGGAUAUGUAGCUUGAUCCAGCUGAUGUCCAUGAACUGUCACCUUUACAUUCAUGCAUGGUUUCUGCAACAGCUGUGGAUAAAAGGUCAUUUUAACAUUCAAGCUAGCUGAUGUCUGCUUUUUACUUCAAACUGAUUUCACAUAUUUUAACAAUGUGCUAGUGAGUAUGUGCAUUGGGGGCUGAAAGUGCAUUUGCAGGGGUCUGACUUCAUGGAGAUGCAUUGCCAUGGGAGAAGUGGAUUCCUAUCCCAUGCCCAUUGCCCAGGUGGGAACGAUAUUGGAGGAUUGGUACUAAGUUGUCAGUCCCUCAGAACGUUAUCAUGUUGAGACUGUGACUGAGUGGAUACGGCAGCUAAAAAUGUUCAGUUAUGUUUUGUCACAGUUAGGCUGUGGAAGUUAGCUUUGCAUAUCUAUGCAACCCCUUCAAUGGAGAUGUGACACUGAGACUAGAGAAUUCUCUUGAGAACGCCGAAAUGCCUUUGUGUGGUGUGAAAUAGAUUAAAAACGCACUUUACAAAAUUAAAAGGGAGAAUAAAAACAGUGGAAUAAUCUGAAUUAAGAAAUAAUUCAGAUUCCUAUGAUUUCCUUCAAAAUUGUUGCCUACUGCAAUGAAGUACGUAUGCUACUUCUGAGGAAGCAGAUUUGAGAUUACUACUUGAAAGACACAUUAGUGCUGGGAGCUUUUCCAAGGGACGUCAGCAAGGAAUGUUCUUAUAUGGGGGUACCUCAGUUGUCUUCUUGCUAAAUGAGUGCCACGGUAUUUAUAGACAUUCCCAAAUAUACUCCUUUUUUUGGUUUGUUUGCUCGCUUACUAUUUGUUUAUUUAUCAAUUAUUUUCCUCCAGCCUAAGCUCCAUUUUCAUGAGAGAGUAAUCUCACUUAUUUGCACUGAGCAUACAGAGCAGUGCUGUGUGAGCACUAGGGACUUCCGUGCUGCCACCUCUGGGAAUCUUUGCAACACCACUGCUCCUAACACUUCAUCGCAAGGAGGUCAAGGAACUGUGUCAUGCCAUAUCAUGCUGGGGCAUUUCUGUGGCACAGUGAGAAAUGGUGAAUGCAGAGGAGCAGCGUGAGAAUACACAGGAGGAUGUGGUCUACCUCCCCUUGAAGUGACUCCACAUAUCUGCUUGCAGACCAGCUCCUCAGCUUCUAUUGUGCACUACUACACUGAGUGCUGCAAACCACUGUGUGAGCCAUCAGAUGCUUGUGCUUCAGCUCCUGCACAGAGAAGAGGCUCUAUUGUCACGCUGUGUAACCAAAGAGCCGGCUGAUGCAGGAGGCACCCCUGCAAACCUCAAGCUGUAGUAGCACAAGUGCCUUCUUCAGCAACAAAGCCAGUUAAAGAACUUUCUACUCCAUGUCACCACCAUUCUCUUGUGGCUCUGCGUCACAGUUUGUCUUUCAGGAGCCUCUGUUACAGCUGCUGGUAUCAAUGGAACAAUCCAAGUUAAAAGUCCUUCUAGCAAACAGGGAGUUUGCCUGUUCGUUUUACUUCAUUUUGAUUAGAAUUAUUUUACUACCAACUCUGCUUUCUCCAUAGCACAACAGGUUUACAACGAGCAAUGCAUUGCUAGAAGUCAGAAACUCCUCUUCUAAUGGCUCUGCUGCAGAUCAAAACCAUGGAUCGCCUACGCAACAAGUACCUCCUAGCACACAGGGCCGAGGGGGCCACUGGGUAUCACUGAGCAACAGCAUUCCAGGAACAGCAAUUGUUUGCCAGUGCAAGUAGAAUUAAGCCCUUUCACUGUGGCUGAAACAUAGUUUCUGACAGAAUCAUUUUAAGGAAGAGAAUUUAGGAAAGUCUUAACCCAGCAGCCUGGUCUACAUUUAAAAUUUGCUGGUAUUAUGUCACCAUUUUGUUGAGUUUUGUUUGUUUGUUUUGUUUUGUUUUGUUUUGUUUUCCAGGCAAUUAUAUCAAUAACAUCUCCGAUGUGGUUGCAACUAUACCAUUAUAGAAUUGUCUUAAAUAGCAAUACGAACUAUCCCAUUUCUCGUACUCUUUGAAUAUAAUGUACUUAGUUAUGACUUUAUGCUUCAGUAAAUGUACUAUUUCAUUGUUUACAGCAGGUUACAGAAUGCUCAGAAGCUGCUGCCUAAUACUAUACUUAACAGAUAAAACUCAAAUGCAAUAUCUCUAGAAUAAAGAAAAAAGCUUGGUCUAUUUUUUCAGAAAUUGAUUGGUCUGCCUUCAUCUGCAGCCAGAUGCAUAUAACGGACGUGAAUGUGUAUACCUGCAUCAACAGAUUUAUAUUGUAUGUGUGCACUCAUACACAUUUUAAAAGCUAAAUGAUACAGUUGCUUUGCAUAAUGAGUUUCAUUUUUUUUCACAGGUCAGCACCUUUAGUGAACCCUGGAAAAACUAAUGUGCGAUCAGUCAUCGCACUGAAGCAGCAGCACCCGUUCAGUAGUCUUGGACAAAAAGCUGAAUGCUGUGGUUUCAGUCACUUAUCAUUGAAACCUUGUGGUUCUGUGUAGGAGGUUGCACAAGCUGGACACGUUUGACAUCCUUGUUUCUGAACGGUGAAAUCUGUACAUCUAAUUUAUGAAAAUUAUCUCUGGUGUGAUUUUAUUCUAUUUUUUUUAAUGAAGUCAACAUUAUGUUUUCCCUGCAUUCAGUGGAAACAAUAAUGGAAAUGUUUUAAGAUGUUCUGUGAACCCGUUUUGACCUUAAAAGGGAGAGUAAUAAAAAUAUCCUUGAUUUUGAUUAAGUUCUAAGAAGGAAAUUAAAAUUAACUACUUGGAGUUGCAGUUGAGAAGAAAGUAUUUAUUGGGUGGGGAAACAAACAGAGAAAUGAGCUGUGAGAAGUCACAUAGACGUUAUGAAAUAAAAACCUUCCAAGUGAGAAUAUGAUAUUAAAAAAAAGCAACACAACAAAGUAAGAUAGUUUAGAAUAAACCAAGGUAUCUGUUGUCUUUCAGACAGUCUCUGCAAACUGAUAAGUUCACAUGCAGGGCAAAUGCAAGAUGUAUCUGCAGCUUAAACAGUUGAAGUUGCAUCAAACAAGCAAAACAGUAUAAGUCAUCUCUUAGUCAGUUAAUGCUUUUUUUUUUCCCCUUUUAUUUUAUGCUAGGUACAGUGAAAUAAUGCAGUUUCUUGACAAGUGAAAUAUGCUGAUGUUGGUGCAAAGGAUAUCACAGCAGGUAUGUGUAACCGGAAUUGGAAGGAGGAGAAAAUAAUUUUUUUUGGCUUGUCCAUGCUGUGUAGCUUCAGAAGAAAUACAUCCACAACUGCAUUGCCAAACUGGAACUGGGACCCACCAUGGACUCUUAUCUUCCUCAUUUACACUUCUGCUUCUGCCUUCUGCUCUGGAAAAAAAGAAGUGUUACUCUCUUAUUGUACAAUUCACUGGAAAAUAAAGAUGUCUUGUCCUGCUGGUGUUUUCUUUCCAGAAACCUGAGCUGAUAAUCAUUACAACUGCAGCUGCAAAAUUAUGACACCAGAUUCUUUGAGCAUACCAUGCUGUUUACCUGAACUGACUUGUGGGGAAGCUGAGAGAAAAAUGAGGGUCCGCUGCAGGUGCUAGCUGAAAUCAAUGGCAAACAACCUUUUUCCUCCAUAAUCAUUGCAAGCAUGGAAAAUGUAGAUAACCAGAGAAGUACUGUCUUUUUGAGCAUCCGAAAUUUACCUAGUGCAUGCAGAGAAAGCCCAGUUGCAUUUAAGAAAUAACACUGAUGCACAGCGAAGUUGCCCUCCAGCCUGAGAGCUUCAGCAUGAGUGCUGGCUACACACAGGAGAAUGGCAGAGCUCUCUCCACAGGGACCACACUAGGCCAGGCACCGCACAAGCCCUUGGUGCAAUUUGCUCUGCUCCUCUCCAAGUAUUAGGAACAUGAUUUUUUCAAAAAUAGAUGAUGUUGUGUGUGGAUGGCAAAAAAGACUGUCUUUGAGCUAAUGUCAAGAACAGGCAAUCAAAAGUGAGAAGCAGGGGUUGCAGCCAUACACGAGAUGCAGGAAUGUAUAACAGCAGGCCAGUGCUAACAGAUGAAAGGAAGGCUGUCAUGCACCUCUACCACAGCCCUGCUCCACAAGGCCUGCACACAGGAUUUCUUCAAAAUUAUUUGGAAAAAGACUGAAUUAACCAAGCACAGAAGUUGCUGAGAAGCGGCCCAUACUCCUCCAGAGCUUCGUGGCAGCCCCCACAGCGUGUUUCCUGUCAGCCCCUAGCUCUGCAGGAUGAACAUGAGUAAUACUUCGGACAGUCAGCCAUUUUGUUAAAUGCUUUAUUGGACCAUAAUAUGAAGGAGAAAGCUGAAAAGUUGCCUGUUUCCAACUGAAACUCAAAGUCCAGCUUUGCUCGUGUCGAGGAGGAGGGUUCCAGCUGGAAAUACAUCUGAACUACAGCUGUCCAAGUGGAAUUGCAAUGGCCAGAUUAUUCCAGGAAGAAACCGAGCUGAAGACUUUGUUCUGAGGGAAGUAUCCGAGCUUCCCGUGUUCAGCUCUAAGUAGAAAGAAUGCCAGUUGAAGAGAAUGCUACAGAAAGCGGGAGACAGCCUCAAAAUGAACUGCUUAUAUGGGUCGCGACGGGAAGCGGCGCACAAAUUUAGACAGUCCUCAAGUUCAGUACUGAAAUGGGAGGCCUGAGAGCAUCGGCUCCGUUGGGGCAAAGGCGUUCGGUGCUUCCCUGGUCGGACUGCAAACCAGCGCGUCCCCGCGGCGCAGGUCUGAGCGGCUGGACGCUGCGGGCCCGCCACGCUCCCCAGGUGGGAACGCUGCGGCCCGGGAGGCAGCGCGGUGAGGGCCCGGCCAUCCCCCACACCCUGCAGGCUCCUUGAGGCGGAGCGGCGCGGGCCGCGCGCAGCCAGCCUGGCGUAGGGCAAGGG